rnacentral:lncRNA from 10 species
AUUUUACCAAAUUCUUUGAAGAUAAAGAAUGGCUGUGGAAACCAGCAUUUUUGUUUUUUUUUGCAUUGCUGUAAAGAAAUGCCCAAGGCUAGGUAAUUUAUAAAGAAAGAGGUUUAAUUGGCUUAUGGUUCUGGAGGCUUUACAGGAAGCAUGGUGCUGGCAUCAGUUUCUGGUGAGGUCUCUAGAAGCUUACAAUCAUGGCGGAAGGUGAUGGGGAGCCAGCAUGUCACAUGGCAAGAGUGGGAGCAAGAGAGAAAUAGAAGAGGUCACAGACUCUUAAAACAACCACAUCUCAAGUGAACUGAGUGAAAACUCACUUAUCACCAAGGGGAUGGUGCUAAGCCAUUCAUGAGAAUUCUGCCCCCAUGAUCCAAUCACCUCCCACGAGGUCCCAUCUACGACACUGGGAAUCAAAUUUCAGCAUGAGAUUUGGAGGGAACAAACAUCCAAACCAUAUCACCUACUUAACAGACAUUUUCAUCACAUGAACUAGUUGAACAAGGAUCUUCAGGCCCUGGAGAAAAUCGUUUUACUUCGAGUGACAAGAUUUUUGGGUUUAAAUAAAUAUUGAAUCUUUGGAAAAGUUAUAUUGCAAAAAGGGAUCUUGAAAUGUUUCCACUGCUGCUUGGACUUUAGAAUAAGGAAGUCUCAAGUCUUACCGAAAACCACCGUGGGGAAUUGCAGAACAAAACCGAACAAUAUUUUCCUUCCCCUGGAACACAACUGUAUAACUACGUGAGGAACCCUUUCCUUGAAUCUUCUCAGCCUGAGCACCUGGCUUUGAGAAAAGAGGAAGAACUUUGUGAAUGUAUGACUGUAGAUAUAAGAUGAAAUGUACUUAUUUGUGUUUCUCCUUCUU